rnacentral:tRNA from 1 species
GGAGGCGUAGCUCAGUUGGUCAGAGUAUCUGCUUGACAUGCAGGGGGUCGGUGGUUCGAGCCCACUCGUCUCCACCA